rnacentral:rRNA from 1 species
CACGACUGGAACGGUCGCUAAUACCCAAUGUGCCGAGAGGUGAAACUUAUAUGGCCUGAGGAUGAGCUCGCGUCUGAUUAGCUAGUUGGAGUGGUAACGGCACCCCAAGGCGACGAUCAGUAGCUGGUCUGAGAGGAUGAUCAGCCACACUGGGACUGAGACACGGCCCAGACUCCUACGGGAGGCAGCAGUGGGGAAUUUUCCGCAAUGGGCGAAAGCCUGACGGAGCAAGACCGCGUGAGGGAGGAAGGCCUACUGGUUGUAAACCUCUUUUGAUAGGGAAGAAGACAAUGACGGUACCUAUCGAAUCAGCCUCGGCUAACUCCGUGCCAGCAGCCGCGGUAAUACGGAGGAGGCAAGCGUUAUCCGGAAUUAUUGGGCGUAAAGCGUCCGUAGGUGGCGAACCAAGUCAGUUGUUAAAGCGUGGAGCUUAACUCCAUAUCAGCAAUUGAAACUGGUUGGCUAGAGUGCGAUAGGGGCAAGGGGAAUUCCCAGUGUAGCGGUGAAAUGCGUAGAUAUUGGGAAGAACAUCGGUGGCGAAAGCGCCUUGCUGGGUCUGCACUGACACUGAGGGACGAAAGCUAGGGGAGCGAAUGGGAUUAGAUACCCCCUGUAGUCAACA